GUAGGUGAGUCAGAAGUUAUUUUUAGUUAGCUAGCAACUGGAGGCCAUUUUACCAUCUAGCAGAGAAACCUGAAAAUUAUUUGGUAGCAGGUAAUUCCCUAACAUUUGUGACAGCCAUUUUAGUGAUUGUAGCGUUAUAUUACACCACUUAUGCACUGUCAGGCAUCAGCAGGACUUUCAAGUCAUUUACCUAACUGCAAAAUAGACAAAGGAAAAUAAAUAAGCAAAUGUUUUCCUACUGUAAUUUUCUUUUCCUGGCUAUUAUAUUCAGCAGCAUCAUUUGUGGGAGGCUCUCCCCUCAGCUGCAAGGACAAGAAAUUAAACAAUUACAAAUAUCCAUAUGUUCCUUUCACUCUACAUUCCUGUCUAAUCAUAAUGCAGAAGGGAGGGAGUCUGAUGCGGCCAAGGAAUAUAAACAGAAAGGAAAAUUAUGGUAACUAUGAAUUUGUUUUUUUCAGGCACAAUUACUUAUGGGUUAUAUUCAGGCAAGAAAGGAAGGUUGGUACAGGAUAACUGCAACUCUACUGGGUGCCACACCAAGCCAAUAGUACUUCGAGAAAGUCUUGAAGUAAGUCCGGGAAGCUGCCUCGCAUACAGAGUCUGAAUAGAUAUUGGCGGCUAUAGAAACUGCUGUAGUA